rnacentral:tRNA from 1 species
GCCACCGUAGCUCAGUUGGUAGAGCAGGUCAUUCGUAAUGAUCAGGUCACAGGUUCGACUCCUGCCGGUGGCUCGA